rnacentral:rRNA from 1 species
GACGAACGCUGGCGGCGUGCUUAACACAUGCAAGUCGAGCGGUAAGGCCCUUUCGGGGGUACACGAGCGGCGAACGGGUGAGUAACACGUGGGUGACCUGCCCUCAGCUCUGGGAUAAGCCUGGGAAACCGGGUCUAAUACUGGAUAUGACUCCAUGACGCAUGUUGUGGGGUGGAAAGCCUUGUGCGGCUGAGGAUGGGCCCGCGGCCUAUCAGCUUGUUGGUGGGGUGANGGCCUACCAAGGCGACGACGGGUAGCCGGCCUGAGAGGGCGACCGGCCACACUGGGACUGAGACACGGCCCAGACUCCUACGGGAGGCAGGCAGGUGGGGAAUCUUGCGCAAGUGGGCGAAAGCCUGACGCAGCGACGCCGCGUGAGGGAU